AGGAAAGGAAGAAGGUGUUUGAGAACGAACACCCCCCCAGCCCUGCGAAGAGGCACCCCAAGUCGGGGGGGAGGGGGUAGACGGAGUCUCUCACACAAGAUGUUAUCAGGAGAGGCACGUCUUCUGCAGCUGUAAUUUAUACACUCACGUUUUUGGAAAGAUUUCAAUGUCUCCCCCCAAUAUAGAUGGGCUUAAAGAGUUCUGUGAACCAUGGAUGCAGUCUGGCUGGGCUACAGAACUGUUAUCCUUUAAGGUAGAAAAAUGAGCUUAGGAAAAUGAUCCCUCCCCAUCAGAUCUGUAGGUGUUCAGGGAAGUCUGUUACACAGCGGCUUUGGAUUCCGUAUUGUCCCCUUGAAAACUUCCCUGCCUUGAACUUGGUAAAGCAAACGUCUCUAGUUUUCCCAAAUUCGUAAGAGAAUGAAUAAAACUGGGCAAAAUAUCAAGUAUAUCUAUUUUAAUUUUUCAUAGUUUCCAAAGAUGAUGAGAAUGAAAGGCUAAUGGUCUUUUGGUACCCUGCAUGGUCCUGGCUGCUGGCCACUCCUCCAUCCUCACCAUCACACUCUGCCCUUCCUCCUCCAAGGAUUCUGGCCAUGCUCAUUUCUGCUUCCGGAAUUUUGUGCAGCGCUGGGCCUCUUCCUGGGGUCUCUUCCUGCGCUGCACACCACCUCUCCCCUCCCACCCCACAACAACUCUUGCAAUGAACUCGGCUCUCCCGGACCUUAAACGCCAUGAGGUGGGGUUGGCACAGGGCAGAAUUCCAUAGGUAGUUGUUGAAGGAGGGAGGUGAUGAGCUGAGACCAAGGAGAGGCUUUGGGUUUACUGUUGUGUUUGCAACACAUUUGAAAGCCGUUAAAAAUUUCAAUUGAGUAAAAUUUUUUAAAAAAUGUCAAAAAACGUCAAAAGCUCUGUUCAUCCGGAGAGCUGUUUUUCAAAAGCUUAAACUCCUUCCCUUCCCUGCCUCUGCCCAUCCCCCACCCCAGUCUCCAUCCCCAUCCCAGCCCUGCUGUCUAACAGCAAGGCACGUGCGCGUGCGCCUGGACACCACGCGGUAGCCUGAGCCCCCGCCGCGUGUUGUGAUUCUGUCUGUGGGGUUGGUGCCAUUCUCUCCCCCAUUUUACAGAUGAAGAAGCAGAGGCCCGAGAGAGCGAGAGAGCUGUGUUCAAGGUCGCCCAGCCAGCGAGUGUGAGAGUUGAGUUCAAGGCUGCACAGCUCGCCCCGCACUGCUUCUUAGAAAGGAAAGCGACUUCUGAAGCCGCCGUCGUGCCAGAGGCCGGCAGGGGGGCCAAGUGCGUGGCCGUGGCCCUGCUUCCACAUUCGAUUCAUAAUGAUCUCGGUUUCCUUGCUCGUGGUCUGCUGCAAGCAUCCCGCUGGAAGGAAUCCAAGAGGACUUUAAGAGGAUGGCACCGUGACAACAGAAGUGACGGCUGACAGCCUGACACGGGGGAUGGAGACAAAACUCAAAGGCAGUCUGGAGACUGUGUACCAGGUUAUCCAGAGGAGCACAGAGCACAUGUGUGAUGCAGAACACACAGAAUUGCCCAAGGACUGCAUCCUUGAGAAGAGUUUUCAAGCUACUAAUUUUCAUUGAAAGGCAAAGAAUGAAGAUGCUGUGAGUGACUGGGACUGGAGCAGGGACUAUGGCCUUUGUGGGGACUCGAAUCCUGGCUCCUCCAUGGAUGGAAUCUUCCCAUUUGUUGGACUUAAGCCUGUUCUUUGGCCUCACAGUCUUGGGAAGAGUGUCAACAAAUUGUCUCCUGGGUACAUGUUUCAGUUUGUGAAGUGAUUUGAAAUCUGAGUUGUAAAAAAGGUGAAGCCCUGUGUAGCUUUUAUCUUUCAGUGAACUACUAGGGGUGUCUCCUCAGGAAACUUCCCCUCCUUCUCCUUCCCAGGAGGCCUCAGUUUCCCCUGGGGUCCCCAGGGCGGAAGGAAACUAACUCCAACCCUGGCUUCAGGUGUGGAAUAGGAGACGUCACCUGAGCUGUCAAUUCAUCCAUCCUGGGGGCCACAGUUGUUGGUUUAGAGACAGAAAGGUGACCUAAGCAGUCUCAGGGUGACUCUCAAAAUAUUUGCUGGGAAUUCUGGGCCAUGGGCAACACACAGUGAAGAUGAGAGGCCUGGAUCCUUUGCAGCCAUUUUGCUGCCACGAGGGAAAACAGACAGUCAAAGAGGAUUAAUAGAGGGGCAGGACUGGGAGAAUGACAAGAGGAUGGAGCCAGACCCCUGGAUGAAGCUUACCUGGGAACCUGCCCAACUCUGAUCUCUUAGGCACGUGAGCCAAGAAUAUUCUCUUCUUCUAAACCAGUUAGAAUUGGAUUGGAUUAAGGGUCCUGACUGAGAUGCACAUAAACUCAUUUUCCUUGUGUGCCCUGAGACACGAGCUCCCCUCCACACCUGUCCCCCUCCCCUGUCCCCCUCCCCCCUCCAGUUUUCAGUGAAGGGGACUAGAUGGUCUUACCUUUCUCUGUGUGUCCUCUUUGCAGUGUGUUCUGGUUAACAGAAACCCCCUAAGUUUUGAUCUGAGACAAUGGGCAGAGCCCAGUGGGCUGUGCUCAGCCCCCGGCCCGAACUGACGCCCGCUGCUCGCCUGUGGUGCUGGUGGAGGUGGGGCUUCUGUAGAGCCAACAAAUGUAGCCUCCGUGUUACUCUUCCUUAUGCCCAGUUUUCUAGUGCAAGUUCCUUCUUUUUCUUACCUGUCUGAGGAUAACGUUUACAUAUUAACAUUACUCUCUUUAAUAUAUGUUGCAAAGAUGCUUUCCUCACUUGUGAUUGGUCAGUUUUACUUGUUCAUGGGUUUUUUUCCCCUUGUGUCGAAGUUUUACUUUUCUACGUAACCAAAUUUAGUAGUCUUAAAAAAAAAAACAAGACGUGUGAAUUUAUUCAGUUUAACAAGGGUAAAACAAAAUAUUUGCUUCAAGUUUUAAAAUUUUUUACAUGAAAUAUAAACAAAAGAUGGUAUUGAUCCCCUUGUCACCCAAUACCCAGGCUGGUUCACCUCCCUCCACAUGUACAAUUCCUAUGGUGGAUUUUGUACAAUCCUAUGAGGUCAUAAUGAACAUUUUGCUUGGAAAAGCAGAUAAUUAUAAAAGGUAUCUGCUAUUGUUUUCUGUGCACUUGAAAAUUCAUAAAUCAUGUCGUAAUUUUAUUUGGUAAAUUGUUAUUUAAAUUCAGCAUCAUGUCAAGAUGAAUCCAUGUUGGUACAUAAAUAUACAUAAUUUAUUUUUAAAACAUAUGCAUUAAUGAAUGUUUGGGUUUUUCCUAAUUGUAACUAAUGCAAAUAACGUGAUAAACUUUCGCUGCUGUCUUUAUGGGUUUCUCCAGGCAUGUUCCUGCGUAUGAAGUUUCUGGGUUGUAGGAAAUGUGCAUUCUUGGGUCUCUCAGGUACUGAGAGCUUUGCUUCUCCGAGGGGCUGUGUCAGCUGUACUUGCACCUGGGAGUAUGGGAUGUCCCACUUUCUAAAUCUCUGCCGAUAUUUGAUGUUCUCAGACUUUUAGAUUUUUGCCAUUCUGGAGGGUGUACAUUCUCAUUUUGGUUUUAAUCUUUAUUUCCUUCAGUAUUAAUGUGAAGGAACAGUUUUUAUGAUGUUUAAUUGGUUUUCCUGAUUUUUCUCAUUUGUGAAAGCCUGUGUUUUGUGCAUUUGUCUAUUGAAUUAUUUGUCUUUUUCUUAUUGAUUUGUAGGUCUUCUUUACAUAGGCUGGCUCCUAAUCUCUUUGUCUAUUAAUUCUGCCAACCUUUGUCUUCCUGGUUUCUGCAUUUACAAAAGCCUUUCUUAUCCCCAUAAGACACAAAUACCUGUUUGAUCAUUUUUAUAUUUUUAAAUAUUUAAAUCUUUUAAACAUUGGAAGUUAAAUUUGACAAAUUGUAUAAAGAAUGUAUCUAAAUGUUUCUUGUUCGAAUAAAUAGCCAAUUUUCCCAGUAGCAGUCAUUGAAGUAUUUUUCCUGCUGAUUUGCAUUAC